GGAGGUCCUGUGAGGCAACCCAGGCCAACAAAGAACAUGGAGAAGCCCAUGGAGUUGUUAAGUUUCUCCGACCCCACGAGAUCUACCUGCAGAGCAGAACAUCACAUUAAACCUUAAGAUCUUCACACACUGGAUAGGCUGGUCUUCUUACUAGAACGGGCAGCAGCAGAGCCAUGUAUCCACCACAGAAGAUGGCAAAGAAGACAGCGUAAACCAUCAGCAGGAUGUAGGAGGUUGCCAUCGGGGAGAGCAGGUUGACCAGGCCACAGAGUAUCAGGUGUUCAAGAUCUAAGUGUAAACAUGAAGUGGAAAAGUGGCUUCAAAUGACAGACGCAGACUCGACAUGAUGGAACCGAUCCAGCUGAUGCUCUCUGACGAGCCUCCAAACUCAUCUUGGAAUGCCACAAAGAAGAUCCCAAAACUCUUCAGUGUUCCCAUCACUAGGACGUUUACCUGCGGGCACGCACACACACAUUUUUUUACGCUUAAUACAUGUUAAGUGCUUGUUACAGGCUGUGCUCUGUGAAACACACAUAUGGACACUUAGAAAAAGAAAAUGUGGAAAUAUUAAAAUUAACAAUUAUGCAGUGAGAAGUAUUUUUAAAUAGCUGGUUAAAAUGUAGGCUUUUUCGCUUCCACCAUCCUAUUGGAACUUGUUAAAAAGGACCAGAAAACUACAUCAUUGCCACACAUUACACCUGGAAUUGAUCACAGUUUAGGAAAACUAGUAGUUGAAGAACCAUUGUGCUGGGAUAAAUAUUUCCAUGUUUGAGAGAUGAGGGAUCAUAACUGAGGUGGACAUACCAGAAAGCAAUGCAGCACCACCAUCCAGCCCCAACCUCCAUCUGGAGGGUCCUCAUACUGGAUCUCUUUUUCCUUCUCCUUCUUAGUGGUCAUGGCAUCCUUCCUGAACAGGUUCAUGGCGGACUUGGUUUCACUAGGAGAAGAAAAAAAAGCAUCAAUAACUUCAAUAUAUCAUAGGCUGCCUAAUCAGAAGCAUUCAACACAUCACAGGCCAUAUUCUAGCAUAACGGUAUGUAGCAUGUAGCAAGCAGGGUCUUUCUCAAAAAAAGAAAAGCUUGAUUAUUUUCUAUAUAAAACCCUAGGUCAUAUCACACAACAUGCAUCAAUGGUAUAAAAGGGUGAUUUUCUGUUAUUUAAUGUUCCUAUGUGUAUUCAUACCAUUUGCUCUUAGGAAAUGCUGUAAAAACAAAUGUUUUUUAUUAGCAUGAUUUUUCACUUGUUUAAUAGUAUAAACAAACUUAAAACAUUUUACUUUGUGAUUUAUCAAUUCAUGCAUGAAAGGGUUAAAUGUAUUCAGUGUAUUUAUUGUACUUGACUCAGAGGUAAUUUGUUUAUGGGUCAUCUUUGUUUUUUGUUAUUCCAUUUACGGAGUACAAGUGGUCUGAGUGCAGGUUGUUAGUGAGCUGGCUCACCUGGGCUGAUGAGCUUGCAAGCCUACAAAGCUGGCCAGUUCAGCCUGCCUCACUCUCUUGCAGCCCUCUCAGCUCCCACAUGGUCUCCUGGUUUGGUUUCUUUGUGUUAUCUUCUCUUUUAGCAUAGACUGUUUUCAAUUUAACAUGGCACUUGCAUGAGCCACAGAUUUUACUCCCAGUUACAUGCACUCCCAGUUAAUUUUACU